GAGUUUCAGCAUCACCUCCCUGUUGUUCUCCGGGUACACAACCUCCCCGUCGAGACGUGUAUUUGGAGAACAGCGGGGAGGUGCUGCCGAAAUUUCGUCUCAGAUC
rnacentral:pre_miRNA from 1 species